GUAGUCAUAUGCUUGUCUCAAAGAUUAAGCCAUGCAUGUCUAAGUAUAAGCAAUUGUACUGCGAAACUGCGAAUGGCUCAUUAAAUCAGUUAUCGUUUAUUUGAUAGUGCCUAUCCUACUUGGAUAACAGUGGUAAUUCUAGAGCUAAUACAUGCUAAAAAUCCCGACUUCGGUUGGGAUGCAUUUAUUGGAUACGGAACCAACGCCCUUCGGGGCUUUCUGGUGAAUCACAAUAACUUCGCGGAUCGCACGGCCUUGUGCCGGCGAUGGUUCAUUCAAAUUUCUGUCCUUACAACUUUCGACGGCUGGGUCUUGGCCAGCCGUGGUGACAACGGGUAACGGGGAAU
rnacentral:rRNA from 1 species